rnacentral:rRNA from 1 species
CGCGUGGUUCUAUUUUGUUGGUUUCUAGGACCGCCGUAAUGAUUAAUAGGGACAGUCGGGGGCAUCAGUAUUCAAUUGUCAGAGGUGAAAUUCUUGGAUCUAUUGAAGACUAACUACUGCGAAAGCAUUUGCCAAGGAUGUUUUCAUUGAUAAGGAACGAAAGUUAGGGGAUCGAAGACGAUCAGAUACCGUCGUAGUCUUAACCAUAAACUAUGCCGACUAGGGAUCGGACGAUGUUAAUACUUGACUCGUUCGGCACCUUUCGAGAAAUCAAAGUGCUUGGGCUCCAGGGGGAGUAUGGUCGCAAGGCUGAAACUUAAAGGAAUUGACGGAAGGGCACCACCAGGGGUGGAACCUGCGGCUUAAUUUGACUCAACACGGGGAAACUCA